rnacentral:lncRNA from 1 species
CUGAGAUUUAUACUGGAAAAUUGGAACUAUACAUGGGGAAAAAAACAACACGAGUACUGGUAUGUCAACAGUGGGUUGGUGCUGAGGUGCUUACAUGGCCCUGAGUAUGAUCCCACAGGGCUCCUGACAGGGCAUCGCUUCAGAAGUGAAUGCAGUGACCCAUAAGGCAUGAGGUCCGCAUGGUGACUGCACUACCUUGUUGUCUUCCAGGAUUUAAACACAAUUAUUACUCCCAAGGAUGCUGGGAAGGUACCAUGCGACGUUGGCUUUUUUCACUUGGAUGAAGUGUUGCCCAGUGGGUUGAGCAGAGGUGUUCAGCAUCAACCUGUCCUUCCUGAUGGGCUGUCUCAGGGCCUCUGGAGGUGGCAGUUCCCUGCUGGGUGUGAUGGAGAGGAAUAUUGGUGCAAUGGGAGAAUAAUGGCUGUUGCAAGACUGUGGUACCAUUAACGAGCUCCUUGGAGGAAGGGCCCUACAGAAGUGCAAAUCAUCUUACUUGCUAUUAAUUACCGAUGUAUUUAUUCAUUGCAAUAUGCAGGGCAGGUAUAGCAGGUUAUCUGCUCAGCUGGUCUGUAAGAGGGUGG